rnacentral:ncRNA from 1 species
GAUCAAGCUACAAAGGGCGCAUGGUGGAUGCCUUGGCACCAGGAGCCGAUGAAGGACGUGGUAAGCUGCGAAAAGCUGCGGGUAGCCGCAAACAGGCUGUGAUCCGCAGAUGUCCGAAUGGGGGAACCCGCAUGGCUAACGCCAUGCAUCCUUAGCUGAAUCCAUAGGCUAAGGAGGGCACACCCGGGGAACUGAAACAUCUAAGUACCCGGAGGAAAAGAAAGAAUAAUCGAUUCCCUAAGUAGCGGCGAGCGAAAGGGGAGGAGCCCAAACCAGAGGAAACUCUGGGGUUGCGGACAGGUCAAGAAAGCGAAGGAGUUCUUAGCCGAAUAGGUCUGGAAAGGCCAGCCACAGAAGGUAAAAGCCCUGUAGGCGAAAAGGACUUUGAGCGAGACCUGAUCCAGAGUACCACGGGACACGAGGAACCCUGUGGGAAGCAGGGAGGACCACCUCCCAAGGCUAAAUACUACCUGGUGACCGAUAGCGCAUAGUACCGUGAGGGAAAGGUGAAAAGAACCC